UAUGGGGUCCUAAGUAGGUCACUUAACUUCUCUGAGACUCAGUUUCCUCCUAUGUAAAAUGGGAUUUAGCAGUUGAUGAAAGCACUGAGUGAGUUGUUAUAGUAACUAAAGUCAAACUCGUCAGAAUGAGGCCGGGCGCCGUGGCUCACACCUGUCAUCCCAGCACUUUGGGAGGUCGAGGCAGGCAGAUCAUGAGGUCAGGAGAUCGAGACCAUCCUGACUAACACAGUGAAACCCCGUCUCUACUGAAAAUACAAAAAUUGACCCGGCACGGUGUCUCAUGCCUGUAAUCCCAGCACUUUGGGAGGCUGAGGCGGGCGGAUCACAAGGUGAGGAGAUCGAGACCAUCCUGGCUAACACGGUGAAACCCCGUCUCUACUAAAACUACAAAAAAUUAGCUGGGUGUGGUGGCGGGUGCCUGCAGUCCCAGCUACUCGGGAGGCUGAGUCAGGAGAAUGGGGUGAACCCAGGAGGCAGAGCUUGCAGUGAGCUGAGAUCGCGCCACUGCACUCCAGCCUGGGUGGCAGAGCGAGACUCCGUCUCAAAACAACAACAAUAAAACAAAAAUUAGCCAGGUGUGGUGGCGUGCACCUCUAGUCCCAGCUACUUGGGAGGCUGAGGCAGGAGAAUUCCUUGAACCCGGGAGGUGGAAGUUGCAGUGAGCUGCGAUCGUGCCAUUGCACUCCAGCCUGGGAGACAGGCCGAGACUCUGUGUGAAAGAAAAAAAAAAAACAGAAAGGAAGUUGUCAGAUUCAGAAUGGAGUGACUUGUGUUUAAAAAAAAAAAAAAAGUGACACGAGGCAUGGUGACUCACACCUGUAAUCCUAGCACUUUGGGAGGCCCAGAUGGGCAGAUUGCCUGAGCUCAGGAGUUCAAGACCAGCCCGGGCAACGUGGUGAAACCCCGUCUCUACUAAAAUACAAAAAAAAAUUCCAUCCUGGCUAACACAGUGAAACCCCAUCUCUACUAAAAAAUACAAAAAAUUAGCCGGGCGAGGUGGCGGGCACUUGUAGUCCCAGCUACUCGGGAGGCUGAGGCAGGAGAAUGGCUAAACCCGGGAGGCGGAGCUUGCAGUGAGCUGAGAUCCGGCCACUGCACUCCAGCCUGGGCGACAGAGCGAGACUCCGUCUCAAAAAAAAAAAAAAAAAAAAAA
rnacentral:lncRNA from 1 species